UUUUGUCGUAGGGAAGAGGGAGAGAGAGAAACGGACGCGUAGAAGGCGUAUCGAAUGCAUCCGAGAUGCGUUCCGAGAUGGAUUCGGCGACAGAAUGCGGAGCAAGGCUUCUCGUUAACGACGCGACGUGCGUGUGUCACGUCGCCGCGCCGUGUGCGCUCAAUGCUAAGCGGAAUGGAAUGCGAAAAUACGUAUGCCCGCGUACUGCGGGAAACGAAACUGCGAUAGCGAUUAAAGUUUCUCCUGCGCGACUAUUUAUUGUAUUUACAUAUUACCAUGACUGACACGCUUGACUGACUCACUGCAUCUCAUUGAGAUUCCCGCUGUUCUGCGGUAUAAAAAGUUCCAGUCGUCGCGUGUCGCUGACAAUGGCCCGUUCUUUCUCUCGAUCGCUUAUUCACGGCCGGAAGUUUGUUCCCAUUACCUGCAGGGAGAGCAACGACGAACUGCGUCUUCCAGGUAUCGUUUCACGCCGCGAUGAAUUCGGUCGACAAAAGAUAAACUGGAUGUAAUUUCUGUGAUUCUGCGUUUUAUUCAUCUCUUGGUCCAAUGGAAUUUUUGUAUGAAAGCGUAAAAGAAUGGUUUCGCAAAGUCUUCUCAUGUAUCAAUAAGAAUGAGAAUAAUAAGAAGUCGAUUUCUAAUAUUAUUUGCACUUUAUAUGUCUAACACAAUAAAAUAGUAUAUGUGUAAUAAGAAAAUAAAUGUACAAUGCAAACUGUGAUGAGCAUUGGGAACGAAACGUUUAUAUAAACGAUUAACCAACACUGAAUGUCAAUGAUAUGAAUUUAACCCACUGCUCUACAUAACUGCUCACUUUCUUUUUACCGCCUUCCUCGUGAGAAGUGCAUUCACAUUCAGAGAAUUGUAACACUACACAAUUAAUUUUUAAUAGUUUUAGAGUAAUUUCUACAAAAGUAUUUGAAACAUUAAUAGAAUGAAUCAAAGACUUACGUGGUCGAAAUAAAGAUAUUGAUUGACUGAUUGAUAGCAGAAUGAAUCAAUGAAGUUUGGAAGCGAAGUGGAAAAAUGUUUCAGCCUACUUGUACGACGGUUAUGACUACGCAUAUUUCAUCAGAAAUGCAAUUGAUCUAUCAGUUCAAGUGAAUCUAGAUGAUUUUACUUUCAAGGCUAAACUGAAUAUAUUCAAGAUGUAUUGAUGCGCAACAGAGACAUGAAUAGAAUAUGGGAAUUUCCAACUGAACGUCGGAAAUUUUCUACGAUAUAUUUUGUUAAAUACUUUAAAAAUUACAAGAGGAUCACAGCUGCUCAAUCAUAUGGAAAAUGAAAGAUUAAACAACUGCUAAACUCGUUCGAGCUGUAUUUUUCAUGAUCACUCUCAUAGGUGCUACAAGAACCCAUCUCAGGAUUAUCGACGCUAAAUUUAAAUUAAAUCGACACACUGGAUUACGUCCAGUCAAUCCAGAUCAGUCAUGCAAUUCUUGCACCUACUGUAUUUGAUUCAGUUGUUAACUCAAAUUAAUUUGCACGAAAGGAUGUAUGUAG